rnacentral:misc_RNA from 1 species
CUCACUUAUGAAGAUAAAGAGGGAGACUGGAUGCUUGUCGGAGAUGUUCCAUGGGGGAUGUUCCUUAGCUCUGUUAAAAGGCUCCGGAUCUUGAGAACUUCUGAAGCUAAUGGGCUUGCUCCAAGAUUCCAAGAGAGGAAUGAAAGACAAAGAAGCAAGCCCGUUUAAGACCACCUCUGCUCAUCAUUUUAAACUCCAGAAAG